rnacentral:rRNA from 1 species
UACGAAGGGGGCUAGCGUUGUUCGGAAUUACUGGGCGUAAAGGGCGCGUAGGCGGUGUGUCAAGUCAGGCGUGAAAGCCCCGGGCUCAACCUGGGAACCGCGCUUGAGACUGGCAUGCUCGAGUUCGGGAGAGGAUGGUGGAAUUCCCAGUGUAGAGGUGAAAAUUCGUAGAUAUUGGGAAGAACACCGAUAGCGAAGGCAGCUUACUAGACUGUAACUGACGCUGAUGCACGAAAAGUGUGGGGGAUCAAACAGG